GAUGAACGCUAGCGGCAGGCCUAACACAUGCAAGUCGAGGGGCCGCACAUAAAGUGGUUUACUACUUUUGGUGGCGACCGGCGGACGGGUGCGUAACGCGUAUGCAACCUGCCUCCAACAGGGGGAUAACGGAGAGAAAUUUCCACUAAUACCCCAUAAUAUCAGAAUCGGCAUCGGUUUUGGUUGAAAACUCCGGUGGUUGGAGAUGGGCAUGCGUUGUAUUAGAUAGUUGGUGAGGUAACGGCUCACCAAGUCAACGAUACAUAGGGGGACUGAGAGGUUAGCCCCCCACACUGGUACUGAGACACGGACCAGACUCCUACGGGAGGCAGCAGUGAGGAAUAUUGGUCAAUGGGGGCAACCCUGAACCAGCCAUGCCGCGUGCAGGAAGACGGCUCUAUGAGUUGUAAACUGCUUUUACAAGGGGAUAAAUCGGUGUACGUGUACACCGUUGAAGGUACCUUGGGAAUAAGGAUCGGCUACUCCGUGCCAGCAGCCGCCGUAA
rnacentral:rRNA from 1 species